rnacentral:rRNA from 1 species
GACGAACGCUGGCGGCGUGCUUAACACAUGCAAGUCGAACGGAAAGACCCUGCUUUUGUGGGGUGCUCGAGUGGCGAACGGGUGAGUAACACGUGAGUAACCUGCCCUUGACUUUGGGAUAACUUCAGGAAACUGGGGCUAAUACCGGAUAGGAGCUCCUGCUGCAUGGUGGGGGUUGGAAAGUUUCGGCGGUUGGGGAUGGACUCGCGGCUUAUCAGCUUGUUGGUGGGGUAGUGGCUUACCAAGGCUUUGACGGGUAGCCGGCCUGAGAGGGUGAACGGCCACAAUGGGACUGAGAGACGGCCCAGACGCGUACGUGAGACAGCGGUGGGAAAUAUUGCACAAUGGGCGGAAGCCUGAUGCAGCGACGCCGCGUGCGGGAUGACGGCCUGCGGGUUGUGAACCGCUUUCGCCUAUGACGAAGCGUGAGUGACGGUAAUGGGUGAAGAAGCACCGGCUAACUACGUG